AACGAACGCUGGCGGCAUGCCUAACACAUGCAAGUCGAACGAGACCUUCGGGUCUAGUGGCGCACGGGUGCGUAACGCGUGGGAACCUGCCCUUAGGUUCGGAAUAACUCCCCGAAAGGGGUGCUAAUACCGGAUAAUGUCUUCGGACCAAAGAUUUAUCGCCUUUGGAUGGGCCCGCGUUGGAUUAGCUAGUUGGUAGGGUAAAAGCCUACCAAGGCUACGAUCCAUAGCUGGUCUGAGAGGAUGAUCAGCCACACUGGGACUGAGACCCGGCCCAGACUCCUAAGGGAGGGAGGAGGGGGGGAAAAUGGACAAUGGGGCAAAGGCUGAACCAGGAAUGGCGGGUGGAGGAUGAAGGGCUUAAGGUUGUAAAGCUCUUUUACCCGGGAUGAUAAUGACAGUACCGGGAGAAUAAGCUCCGGCUAACUCCGUG
rnacentral:rRNA from 1 species